AGAGGGGGGAGGGGUGGUAGUUACACCAGCACAGGAACAGAGCGGGAGGGAGAGAGAGAAAGAGAGCCAGGGACAACAACGUCACAUUACAAAGGUUGCCAUGGUAGCAGAUACAGGGAGAACAAGUGUAGACGAUGCCACAUGAAGGAUGAUGAAAUUCCUCAUAUCACCUGAGCUGGCUGUGGAGUACAACAUGCUUGGCCGCCAAGGGAAAAAAAAGUUCAGAGAUUUGCGUCUUUUUAAUGUUGUGUAUGAGACACUGAAGAAGAAUUAUUUAACAUCAAAAGUCAACUUGCAAGAAGCAGAGAAGGAUGAGGGCUGCAAGGGUACAAAAUAGACUUACGGCUCUGUAAAAAACAAAAAAUGAAACCCUGCUGAUUCUAGAUAAGCUUUUGAGUUUUCCAUCUGACUUUUUCCCCAUGUUGCUACAGUUCCAAAUAUCUAAGGAAUUUUGCUGUAGUUUGACAUUUCUAGUUUUUUAAAAGUUUACGCACUUUGGAAUACAGUUACGUAAAAUCACAGUUGUUGGACAAAAUAAAUGUGAAAAAUGUUGUUUUGUGUACCCUCGUGAUUUUUG